UCCUCCCUCUUUCUUCGUGCUUAACACAUGCAAGUCGAACGGAAAGGCCCUGCUUUUGUGGGGAGCUCGAGUGGCGAACGGGUGAGUAACACGUGAGUAACCUGCCCUUGACUUUGGGAUAACUUCAGGAAACUGGGGCUAAUACCGGAUAGGAGCUCCUGCUGCAUGGUGGGGGUUGGAAAGAUUCGGCGGUUGGGGAUGGACUCGCGGCUUAUCGGCUUGUUGGUGGGGUAGUGGCUUACCAAGGCAUUGACGGGUAGCCGUCCUGAGAGGGUGACCGGCCACGUUGGGACUGAGAUACGGCCCAGACUCCUACGGGAGGCAACAGUGGGGAAUAGUGCACAAUGGGCGGAAGCCUGAUGCAGCAACGCCGCGUGCGGGAUGACGGCCUUCGGGUUGUAAACCGCUUUCGCCUGUGACGAAGCGUUAGUGACGGUAAUGGGUAAAGAAGCACCGGCUAACUACGUG
rnacentral:rRNA from 1 species